UACGAGGGGGGCGAGCGUUGUUCGGAAUUACUGGGCGUAAAGCGUGCGCAGGCGGUUCUGUAAGACAGAUGUGAAAUCCCCGGGCUCAACCUGGGAACUGCAUUUGUGACUGUAGAGCUGGAGUGCGGCAGAGGGGGAUGGAAUUCCGCGUGUAGCAGUGAAAUGCGUAGAUAUGCGGAGGAACACCGAUGGCGAAGGCAAUCCCCUGGGCCUGCACUGACGCUCAUGCACGAAAGCGUGGGGAGCAAACAGG
rnacentral:rRNA from 1 species